UACGGGGGGGGCGAAGCGUUGUUCGGAAUUACUGGGCGUAAAGGGCCAGUAGGCGGCCUCCGCAAGUCGACUGUGAAAUCUCCGGGCUUAACCCGGAAAGGUCAGCCGAAACUGCGGGGCUAGAGUGCAGAAGGGGCAACUGGAAUUCUCGGUGUAGCGGUGAAAUGCGUAGAUAUCGAGAGGAACACCUGCGGCGAAGGCGGGUUGCUGGGCUGACACUGACGCUGAAGCGCGAAAGCUAGGGGAGCGAACGGG
rnacentral:rRNA from 1 species